rnacentral:lncRNA from 1 species
AAAAAAAAAACGUCCAAACGAGUCAUGAGCAACGCUUGUGUAACCAUACGGACAUUUAUAUAGUGCAUUAUCUCAAAUUCAAGCGUUUCUGAAUUCUUUCACAAACUCCGUACGUAUAAAAGCAAAUAACUAGAAACGUGGAGAAAGGGGUUCCAUCUCAAGCACUCUCUUGUAGCCAAAAUGGAGAGGGAGUAGGUGUCACUGGCUUCUCUCUGCAUCUCUCUGUCUUUGACAUGCUUAAUGGCACAUGUUAGAUCAAUCAAGUUCAAAGUUUUCCUAUUGACUGCAAGGAAAAGGUACAUCAUGUCCCUGAACUAGGACUGAGUUUCCCACAAUGACAUAUGUCCUACCAUGAUAAAUCUAAACAUAGGCCACAGACGACGGGUUUGAAUUGCUAAAAAAUACAGGCUCAACUUUGCAGGUUCAUCCCACUUUUUUUUUUUUUUUUCUGCAGGUUCAUCCCACUUAAAUUUGCUUAAAUUUGCUCAGAUACUUGAUAUUCCAGGGAUCAUAAUAAAAUGAGGAUCCAACCUCAUC